rnacentral:rRNA from 1 species
AUUGAACGCUGGCGGCAGGCCUAACACAUGCAAGUCGAGCGGAUGAAGGGAGCUUGCUCCUGGAUUCAGCGGCGGACGGGUGAGUAAUGCCUAGGAAUCUGCCUGGUAGUGGGGGAUAACGUCCGGAAACGGGCGCUAAUACCGCAUACGUCCUGAGGGGGAAAGUGGGGGAUCUUCGGACCUCACGCUAUCAGAUGAGCCUAGGUCGGAUUAGCUAGUUGGUGGGGUAAAGGCCUACCAAGGCGACGAUCCGUAACUGGUCUGAGAGGAUGAUCAGUCACACUGGAACUGAGACACGGUCCAGACUCCUACGGGAGGCAGCAGUGGGGAAUAUUGGACAAUGGGCGAAAGCCUGAUCCAGCCAUGCCGCGUGUGUGAAGAAGGUCUUCGGAUUGUAAAGCACUUUAAGUUGGGAGGAAGGGCAGUAAGUUAAUACCUUGCUGUUUUGACGUUACCAACAGAAUAAGCACCGGCUAACUUCGU